rnacentral:rRNA from 1 species
GUGCCAGCAGCCGCGGUAAUACGAAGGGGGCUAGCGUUGUUCGGAAUUACUGGGCGUAAAGGGCGCGUAGGCGGCCUGUUAAGUUAGGAGUGAAAGCCCCGGGCUCAACCUGGGAAUUGCUCUUAAUACUGGCAGGCUUGAGUUCCGGAGAGGAUGGUGGAAUUCCCAGUGUAGGGGUAAAAUUCGAAGAUAGUGGAAAGAACACCGGUGGCGAAGGCGGCCAUCUGG